rnacentral:tRNA from 1 species
GUGGGCAUAGUUUAGCAAAAAUUUUAGUUUGUGGUACUAAGGACGGGGGUUAAAAUCCCCUUGCCCACC